GCUCAAUUAGUUUAGUUAGUUAGAACAUUAAAUAAUUUUUAUUUUUAUUUUAAAGAUACAGGUUCAAUUCCUGUACUGGGCC
rnacentral:tRNA from 1 species